GGCCUGGUGGUGUACGGUGCACACUUGCAGUUCAUGUGUUGAACGCAAGUCUUAUGCAAGAGGACCUCGUUCGAUUCGAGGGUAGGCCG